GCAAACACCCCAGCCCCCUCCGCCCCGUCCCGGAUGUCGGAAAAUUUCCCGGGACACGGUGGGCCCACCGGGGCCCAUUUUCGGAAAAAUUCAAAAAUGGAGCAUGGGCAUCGCCCUUGCUUUAGGCAUACAUGGGGCUUUAUUUUCUUAUUGUAGGUGAGGCAUCGAGGUGUUGUGUAGCCUAUAAUAGCCCUAGUCGGAACUGACGCGGGCCCGAAUAUGAAUUGACGGAAUUUUAUGCGGCUGUGAUGGCCGUAGAGGGCGAGGCCGAGACAUGGAUGGAAGAUCCAACCAAAGCUGUUGGGGCCCAACCCCAUGCAAG
rnacentral:lncRNA from 1 species